GUUGGUGAACCAGCGGAAGGAUCAUUACAGAGAACUUGCCCCUAACCGGGUAGAUCUCCCACCCUUGCCUAACAUACAUUGUUGCUUUGGCGCGCGCUCUGGCGCCGCCAGAGGACCCUAAACUCUUGUUUAUAGUGUCGUCUGAGUACUAUAUAAUAGUUAAAACUUUCAACAACGGAUCUCUUGGUUCUGGCAUCGAUGAAGAACGCAGCAUCUGACUGACUAAGAUUCGGCGCAUCUCGUAUGCCGU
rnacentral:misc_RNA from 1 species